UAUAAAGUGCCUGAAUAAAGGAAUAUUCUGAUAGAAUAUAUUAUAUAAAUAUAAAAUUUAUCUUUAUAA
rnacentral:tRNA from 1 species